GUAUUGCUAUUCAAAAUACAUUUAAGGCUGAAACAUGUAGAGGAUCAAAAGUUACAAAGAGGUAAAUAAAAAAGAUGACACUUAACUUAGGAUUCAUUCAUUCAGUGAGGUUUCCGAGUGUUUUACUCUGUACCAGGCAGUGACUUAUGCCCUAAAAAGGCAGGAAGGAAAGAGAGAAAUGAGUUCCUUGCUUUCAUGGAGCUGAUGGUCUAGGGGGGCACAGACAAGAGAAAUACUAGAUGGUGAUAAACAGCUGUGCAGGGAGUUAAGCUAAGGAUCGUGAACGAGAGUGACCAGACGGCUUCUCUAGCUGGAAAGACAAGAAUGGCUUCUCCAGGGAGAAAACCCUUAGAAGACUCACAUUCAUCCAUGGAAGGAGAACUCAUAUCUGCAGCCGUGAAGUGGGUCAAGAACCUCAGCGAGUCUUGGCUUGUGUCAAACCAGGAAGGAAGUCGAGGACAGAGCAAUUUCAAGGAAGCUCAGAACUGAAUUUCCUGUAGGAAACUCAAAACUGAAUUUACAACAGGGCCUGUUGAGUCAGCGUUCUCAAUCACAAAGCCUGAAGAAGGGCAGAUGUCAAGGAUGAGGCAGCACCUAGAGGAUGGGAGGUGAGCUGUUGGAAUAGCUUCUGCUCUGGUGGGAUCGGGCUGUCGGGACUGUGGUUCUGGGGACAUCCUGUCCAAUUGCUCUCCACGGCCCACUGCCCUCGUAGCAUUUCUCAGAGAGCUCUGUCUCCCCUCAGUGGGUAAGUGGGACACUCCUGGACAGGACCGCCAUGGCUCCAAUCCCAAAAGAGAGGAAUAGGGAAACUGACA